GCUGGCGGCGUGCCUAAUACAUGCAAGUCGAGCGAGCGGAACUAACAGAUUUACUUCGGUAAUGACGUUAGGAAAGCGAGCGGCGGAUGGGUGAGUAACACGUGGGGAACCUGCCCCAUAGUCUGGGAUACCACUUGGAAACAGGUGCUAAUACCGGAUAAGAAAGCAGAUCGCAUGAUCAGCUUUUAAAAGGCGGCGUAAGCUGUCGCUAUGGGAUGGCCCCGCGGUGCAUUAGCUAGUUGGUAAGGUAAAGGCUUACCAAGGCGAUGAUGCAUAGCCGAGUUGAGAGACUGAUCGGCCACAUUGGGACUGAGACACGGCCCAAACUCCUACGGGAGGCAGCAGUAGGGAAUCUUCCACAAUGGACGCAAGUCUGAUGGAGCAACGCCGCGUGAGUGAAGAAGGUUUUCGGAUCGUAAAGCUCUGUUGUUGGUGAAGAAGGAUAGAGGUAGUAACUGGCCUUUAUUUGACGGUAAUCAACCAGAAAGUCACGGCUAACUACGUGCCAGCAGCCGCGGUAAUACGUAGGUGGCAAGCGUUGUCCGGAUUUAUUGGGCGUAAAGCGAGCGCAGGCGGAAGAAUAAGUCUGAUGUGAAAGCCCUCGGCUUAACCGAGGAACUGCAUCGGAAACUGUUUUUCUUGAGUGCAGAAGAGGAGAGUGGAACUCCAUGUGUAGCGGUGGAAUGCGUAGAUAUAUGGAAGAACACCAGUGGCGAAGGCGGCUCUCUGGUCUGCAACUGACGCUGAGGCUCGAAAGCAUGGGUAGCGAACAGGAUUAGAUACCCUGGUAGUCCAUGCCGUAAACGAUGAGUGCUAAGUGUUGGGAGGUUUCCGCCUCUCAGUGCUGCAGCUAACGCAUUAAGCACUCCCGCCUGGGGAGUACGACCGCAAGGUUGAAACUCAAAGGAAUUGACGGGGGCCCGCACAAGCGGUGGAGCAUGUGGUUUAAUUCGAAGCAACGCGAAGAACCUUACCAGGUCUUGACAUCUAGUGUCAUUUGUAGAGAUACAAAGUUCCCUUCGGGGACGCUAAGACAGGUGGUGCAUGGCUGUCGUCAGCUCGUGUCGUGAGAUGUUGGGUUAAGUCCCGCAACGAGCGCAACCCUUGUUAUUAGUUGCCAGCAUUAAGUUGGGCACUCUAAUGAGACUGCCGGUGACAAACCGAAGGAAGGUGGGGAUGACGUCAAGUCAUCAUGCCCCUUAUGACCUGGGCUACACACGUGCUACAAUGGGCAGUACAACGAGAAGCGAGCCUGCGAAGGCAAGCGAAUCUCUGAAAGCUGUUCUCAGUUCGGACUGCAGUCUGCAACUCGACUGCACGAAGCUGGAAUCGCUAGUAAUCGCGGAUCAGCACGCCGCGGUGAAUACGUUCCCGGGCCUUGUACACACCGCCCGUCACACCAUGGGAGUCUGCAAUGCCCAAAGCCGGUGGCCUAACCUUCGGGAAGGAGCCGUCUAAGGCAGGGCAGAU
rnacentral:rRNA from 1 species